ensembl:snRNA U2 U2 spliceosomal RNA
AUUGUUUCUUGACCUUCUGGAUUAGACUAACAGCAGUAUCUGUGUUUAUCGGAUUAAUAUCUAAUAUGUCCUCUACUUGAGGACAAUAUAGUAAAUGGAUUUUUUUAGAGCAGGGAAGUGGAGUAGAAGUUGCUUCAUCCACUUCCCACACUGAACUGGUCUUGUAGUAUCUCUAGAAAUGGUGUCUUUCCU